rnacentral:rRNA from 1 species
GGGUUGUGAGGUUAAGCGACCAAGCGUACACGGUGGAUGCCCUGGCAGUCAGAGGCGAUGAAGGACGUGCUAAUCUGCGAAAAGCGCCGGUAAGGUGAUAUGAACCGUUAUAACCGGCGAUGUCCGAAUGGGGAAACCCAGUGUGACUCGUCACACUAUCAUUAACUGAAUCCAUAGGUUAAUGAGGCGAACCGGGGGAACUGAAACAUCUAAGUACCCCGAGGAAAAGAAAUCAACCGAGAUUCCCCCAGUAGCGGCGAGCGAACGGGGAGGAGCCCAGAGCCUGAAUCAGCAUGUGUGUUAGUGGAAGCGUCUGGAAAGGCGCGCGAUACAGGGUGACAGCCCCGUACACAAAAGCGCAUGUGCUGUGAGCUCGAUGAGUAGGGCGGGACACGUGGUAUCCUGUCUGAAUAUGGGGGGACCAUCCUCCAAGGCUAAAUACUCCUGACUGACCGAUAGUGAACCAGUACCGUGAGGGAAAGGCGAAAAGAACCCCGGCGAGGGGAGUGAAACAGAACCUGAAACCGUGUACGUACAAGCAGUGGGAGCCUCUCUUUAUGGGGGGUGACUGCGUACCUUUUGUAUAAUGGGUCAGCGACUUAUAUUCUGUAGCAAGGUUAACCGCAUAGGGGAGCCGGAGGGAAACCGAGUCUUAACCGGGCGUUAAGUUGCAGGGUAUAGACCCGAAACCCGGUGAUCUAGCCAUGGGCAGGUUGAAGGUUGGGUAACACUAACUGGAGGACCGAACCGACUAAUGUUGAAAAAUUAGCGGAUGACCUGUGGCUGGGGGUGAAAGGCCAAUCAAACCGGGAGAUAGCUGGUUCUCCCCGAAAGCUAUUUAGGUAGCGCCUCGUGAAUUCAUCUCCGGGGGUAGAGCACUGUUUCGGCCAGGGGGCCAUCCCGGCUUACCAAUCCGAUGCAAACUGCGAAUACCGGAGAAUGUUAUCACGGGAGACACACGGCGGGUGCUAACGUCCGUCGUGAAGAGGGAAACAACCCAGACCGCCAGCUAAGGUCCCAAAGUCAUGGUUAAGUGGGAAACGAUGUGGGAAGGCCCAGACAGCCAGGAUGUUGGCUUAGAAGCAGCCAUCAUUUAAAGAAAGCGUAAUAGCUCACUGGUCGAGUCGGCCUGCGCGGAAGAUGUAACGGGGCUAAACCAUGCACCGAAGCUGCGGCAGCGAACGUAUCACCCAAGACAACUUUGCAUAGUUGACGAUUGACGGAGCGAAGCGACGUCAAAGCGUUUUACAACGUCGAGUUGGCUUAGGGAUACGUUCGUUGGGUAGGGGAGCGUUCUGUAAGCCGUUGAAGGUGUGUCGUGAGGCAUGCUGGAGGUAUCAGAAGUGCGAAUGCUGACAUAAGUAACGAUAAAGCGGGUGAAAAGCCCGCUCGCCGGAAGACCAAGGGUUCCUGUCCAACGUUAAUCGGGGCAGGGUGAGUCGACCCCUAAGGCGAGGCCGAAAGGCGUAGUCGAUGGGAAACGGGUUAAUAUUCCCGUACUUGGUGUUACUGCGAAGGGGGGACGGAGAAGGCUAUGUUGGCCGGGCGACGGUUGUCCCGGUUUAAGCGUGUAGGCUGACUUUCCAGGCAAAUCCGGAGAGUCAAGGCUGAGGCGUGACGACGAGGCACCACGGUGCUGAAGCAACAAAUGCCCUGCUUCCAGGAAAAGCCUCUAAGCCUCAGGUAACAUCAAAUCGUACCCCAAACCGACACAGGUGGUCAGGUAGAGAAUACCAAGGCGCUUGAGAGAACUCGGGUGAAGGAACUAGGCAAAAUGGUGCCGUAACUUCGGGAGAAGGCACGCUGACACGUAGGUGAAGCGGUUUACCCGUGGAGCUGAAGUCAGUCGAAGAUACCAGCUGGCUGCAACUGUUUAUUAAAAACACAGCACUGUGCAAACACGAAAGUGGACGUAUACGGUGUGACGCCUGCCCGGUGCCGGAAGGUUAAUUGAUGGGGUCAGCGCAAGCGAAGCUCCUGAUCGAAGCCCCGGUAAACGGCGGCCGUAACUAUAACGGUCCUAAGGUAGCGAAAUUCCUUGUCGGGUAAGUUCCGACCUGCACGAAUGGCGUAAUGAUGGCCAGGCUGUCUCCACCCGGGACUCAGUGAAAUUGAACUCGCUGUGAAGAUGCAGUGUACCCGCGGCAAGACGGAAAGACCCCGUGAACCUUUACUAUAGCUUGACACUGAACACUGGUCCUUGAUGUGCAGGAUAGGUGGGAGGCUUUGAAGUGUGGACGCCAGUCUGCAUGGAGCCAUCCUUGAAAUACCACCCUUUAAUGGCUGGUGUUCUAACGUGGACCCGUAAUCCGGGUUGCGGACAGUGUCUGGUGGGUAGUUUGACUGGGGCGGUCUCCUCCUAAAGAGUAACGGAGGAGCACGAAGGUUGGCUAAUCCUGGUCGGACAUCAGGAGGUUAGUGCAAUGGCAUAAGCCAGCUUGACUGCGAGCGUGACGGCGCGAGCAGGUGCGAAAGCAGGUCAUAGUGAUCCGGUGGUUCUGAAUGGAAGGGCCAUCGCUCAACGGAUAAAAGGUACUCCGGGGAUAACAGGCUGAUACCGCCCAAGAGUUCAUAUCGACGGCGGUGUUUGGCACCUCGAUGUCGGCUCAUCACAUCCUGGGGCUGAAGUAGGUCCCAAGGGUAUGGCUGUUCGCCAUUUAAAGUGGUACGCGAGCUGGGUUUAGAACGUCGUGAGACAGUUCGGUCCCUAUCUGCCGUGGGCGCUGGAAGAUUGAGGGGGGCUGCUCCUAGUACGAGAGGACCGGAGUGGACGCAUCACUGGUGUUCGGGUUGUCAUGCCAAUGGCACUGCCCGGUAGCUACAUGCGGAAGAGAUAAGUGCUGAAAGCAUCUAAGCACGAAACUUGCCCCGAGAUGAAUCUUCCCUGAGACUUAAAGUCUCCUGAAGGAACGUUGAAGACGACGACGUUGAUAGGCCGGGUGUGUAAGCGCAGCGAUGCGUUGAGCUAACCGGUACUAAUGAACCGUGAGGCUUAACCUUACAACGCCGAAG